rnacentral:rRNA from 1 species
UACGUAGGGGGCGAGCGUUGUCCGGAUUUAUUGGGCGUAAAAACGCUCGUAGGCGGCUUGGCAAGUCGGGUGUGAAACCUCCAGGCUCAACCUGGAGACGCCACUCGAUACUGCCAUGGCUAGAGUCCGGUAGGGGACCACGGAAUUCCUGGUGUAGCGGUGAAAUGCGCAGAUAUCAGGAGGAACACCGGUGGCGAAGGCGGUGGUCUGGGCCGGCACUGACGCUGAGGAGCGAAAGCGUGGGUAGCAAACAGG